UACGGGGGGGGGCAAGCGUUGUCCGGAUUUACUGGGCGUAAGGGCGUGCAGGCGGUUUGUUAAGUGCAGGGUGAAAGCUCCCGGCUCAACUGGGAGAGGUCCUUGCAUACUGGCAAACUCGAGGGAGGCAGAGGAAAGUGGAAUCCCGGUGUAGUGGUGAUAUGCGUAGAUAUCGGGAGGAACACCUGUGGCGAAGGCGGCUUUCUGG
rnacentral:rRNA from 1 species